CUUAACACAUGCAAGUCGAACGGACUGAGUCUUCGGAAAAGGUUAGUGGCGCACGGGUGAGUAACACGUAGGUGACCUGCCCUGGAGUGGGGAUAACUUCUCGAAAGAGAGGCUAAUACCGCAUACGCUCGGCCAUUCGGUUGGUCGAGUAAAGCUCCGGCGCUCCAGGAGGGGCUUGCGUCCGAUUAGCUAGUUGGUGAGGUAAAUGGCUCACCAAGGCGAUGAUCGGUAGCUGGUCUGAGAGGACGAUCAGCCACACUGGCACUGACACACGGGCCAGACUCCUACGGGAGGCAGCAGUGAGGAAUAUUGGUCAAUGGGCGAAAGCCUGAACCAGCAACGCCGCGUGAGGGAUGAAGGCCUUCGGGUCGUAAACCUCUUUUCUGGGAGAAGAGACAAGGACGGUAUCCCAGGAAUAAGUCUCGGCUAACUACGUG
rnacentral:rRNA from 1 species